CUCCCUGCAUGUUGUUGUUUUUUUUUAAAUCCCUGUUUUCCUUGGGAUUGUUCCACUCUUUUUAAAAGGCCUAUAUCAGAUCCAGUAUUAUGUAACAGUCAAUAUUCGCACAACAAACACACACAGAGUGUGUUGGGGAAGCGGCUCAUUAGACGAGUCACUUUCUACAGAACAACAUUCUAACUACCACGCUAGAAAUGGAAACGCUGCCUCCACAGCCGCGAAAGAGAGAGGAGCAGUCUAAACCAAAAGGAGGUGGGGAAAGACGAGGAGGAACACAAAGAGUGUGUGAAGUGAACACUCCCAGGCAGCCUUGGACGCAUACAAACUAAAGUGAGGCUCACCAGUCAAAUUGCACAGCAGAUAACUACCGUGUGUGUGUGACAUCAACAAAAACCACUAAAGAAGAGAACAAGCCUGAGGAGCAGAAGAAGAAGCUUUGGAAGAUAACAACGUUCGAGGGAAGGAAAGAUUCAAAAGCAGCGUGGAGGAGAACUACAGAGGAGCAGGGAAUGAGAUUUGUUUGAGUGUCAUCUCACUUUUCUUUCGACUCCUCAUGCAGACCGUCAUCUAUAUCUGAGACAUUAUCCCUCCUAACCCUAAUCUCAACCUGUCUGCUAAUCUCAGGCAGCGUCUGAAGACUCCUCUGGAUGAUUGAGUGCUCUCAGGCGCUCCGCAGGCAAAACUCCUGCCUCGCUCAUCGCUGUCUCCUCCUCAUCAACUGGUCUGCUCACUUCUGUUUUGUUAUUUCUGACACUUAAGUCUGGGCUCGGCUGAGUGAGUGGAAACAACAAGGGCUCUCGCAGGAUGGAUGCCGGAGAACAGACGCUGACCCUUCUGAACAGGGUAUGGGUAAAGUUGCAGAAUCUGCCCAGCGCCAACAGUAUAGAUCUGGGUGCUUUCUUCGUCCUGCUAACCUUCAUCUUGGUGGUGGUGAUCAUGUCAGUGGUGACCUGCUUUAGCUGCUGCUGCUGCUGCCGCUGCUGCAAGGCCAAGAUGAAGGGACCGAAUAUCUGAACCAAUGUGCUCCACACGAAGAGAAGUAUUCACAUGUGCAAUUACUGGACUUACUGAACUCCCACAUCAGGCAUCUAAGCACAGGACAAAAGAGUUGCAAGAGUUUUUCUGCAGCUCUGGACUCCGGCUGCGACUCAUGCCCAUGUAAUUCAUAGGUAGACAUUCAAGAUGGGUGUGUUCGGUGGCACCAAGGAGGCCAAACCCUUGAACAAUAAACUGAAUUGUCAAGCACAGAGAGGGGUGUCCUGACUGGCUGCCAGGCACACCUGCUAAAGCUGCAUGGUUUUCAGGAGAAUCCACAUUCCUCGGAGCAUCCCUGCUCUCUACAGGGUCACAACAACUCCCCUGAUGUGGGGAAAAGGCCGGGCCACACCCAAAAUGCAACUUUAAAUUAUACAGGGAAAAUACAUGGAAUUUGAGCUGGGAAAAUUUGUAGAAUCAUUAAAAAUAAUAAAAUAAAUAGGAACUAUCAACAAUAAAAGUAAGAUGUGAUGGGGGAAUGUAAAUUGCUUUGUUAAUGAGUCAUUGUUGAGGAGUUGGAUAAGAUUCUCCUGAGGGGGAAGCUGUUUCCGAACUGGGACGUGAAGAGAGAUCAAGUCUGCCCUCUGCUGUACGCAAACUGAACAUGUGUGUGAUGAAACUUAUAUUAUGCAUGAUUUACUUAAGCAAAGGGAAAAUGGAUUGUGUAAUGAAGUGAGGCUUUGACUCAACACUUAUUGUACUGCCUACUGUAAAUAAUAAACAAAAAGUGAGAGUGA